CCCACUUUCCAAUGUGAAGAAAAUCAGAGCUCGAACAUGCCUUUACAAAGAACAUGCCGAGAUGGACAUUUUGACCUGCCAAAGUGCACACCAGAUUUAUGUUAUCUGCAGACAUCGGAUUUCAGGAAUAAUCACCUUGAGGUUCCAGAGAAUUACACACAGAUGCUAUUCAGAUGGAUCUUUUAUCAUGUCGAGUUACCCAGAGAUGUACCAGUGACCCUGAAAUGUGAGCAAGAUCACGUGACCUCAGAACAUCUUAUCGUCAUGUGUAAAGAUGGGGUUGUGGAACUGCCAAAGUGCCGUCCAGGACAUCAAGGCGGUACACGAGUUCUUGCCAUGUUCAGCUCAGCACGUUUGCGUCCACCAGUACGCAUGCAGCUGUGAUCGGAGAACGAAGAUCCUGCAGGUUUGCCACCUUGAUGCUGCAGACAACAUCUUUGACAAACGCCCACAGAAAAAAAUCAAGGGGGGGUUAUGUCUGGUGAUCAUGGUGGCCAGGCGGUUGGUCUAUCGCAGCCAAUCCAGCGACCUGGAAAUUUUUCAUUCAGGACAACUCAAACAACUAAGGCCCAAUGAGGGGAAAUGCCAUUCUGUCGAAAAUGAUAUUGGGUUGCAGGUCUUCAAUCUGUGGGAAGGCAAAUCCUUCCACCAUGUUCAUGUAAAUUGUUGAGGUCACUGUAGCCUCCGUAAAGAAAAACAGACCCACCAAGCAGUCAUGGAGAAGGCCACACCACACAUUGACCUUUGGACUGUCGCGUAUGUGUUCAAUGACCACUUGGGGGGUUUUCAGAGUGCCAGAUCCUAACAUUGUGCCAGUUGACCUUCCCUGACAAAUGAAAGCUCGUUUUUCCUGUCAACAUGACCUUUUUUAGGUAAUCUUCAUCAUCCGCAAUGUGACUGAGCAUUUCAAAGGCAAAUGCCUUGCAUUUGCGUCUGUCAUUUGGUUUAAGUUCCUGCAGAAUCUGCACCUUAUAGCCAUAAAGCUUCAGUCUUUCAUGUAAAAUCCCCUAUGUACAGUGGUGGUUGGUAGUCCUAGUUCUCUGAAUGCGCAUCAAAUUGAUUUUCUGGGACUUUGUUGAAAUGAUUCAUGCACUCAUUCAAUGCCUGCUGCACUUGUGCUUGGUCGACCGGUACUUUUCUGUUUGAUUACUUCCAGUCCCCUUCAACCCCUUGUCCCACUCUCUGAUAUCAGUCUGUGAUGGUGCACUGAGCUUUCUCCUGUGGAGUCACCUUUUUUUUUUACAUGAAAUCACCAGUCCAGAAAAUAUAUAAUUUUUUUUGAAUUUCUUUAUCAUAUUAAGCAAAGGGUAUCGUUGUAUCAUUUGUUGUACUAAAUAUAUUAACAACCAAA
rnacentral:lncRNA from 1 species